AGCACUGUCAAAGGCCCAUGCCCAAAACUCCCUGCUCACAACAAGGCAGGAAUGAGAAGAGAGCAGCUGCAACUGCAGCUACCAGCAAAGGAAAAGCCAACAUGAACACACACAAACCUCAACACACUCCCCGGAUCCAGGAGGAAAACAGCAGAUGCCCCCUGCAGCAGUUGCCAGAUGCCCCCACAACUAGCCCAGGCACUAAGCCGGUGGCAAGGGUGAUGAGAUGUGUCUCCUACCACCCCUGUCCAGUUGCCCCUCUGAUCACAGUGGAUGGGAAGACAAGCAGGCAAUGAGGAGUGUGCACCUCAUUCCUUGCCACAUGUGCCACCACCUUGCCACAUGUGCCACCACCCGCUUCACUCUUGCUGUGGCAGCCCCCAUCGCUCCAUCUCACUGUACAACAGCAUGGUUUGGGAAUUCAGAAGGAGGAACCUGCCCCGCCCCCUCACCCUCCCUGAAGCUGUGGCCUCCAUGGCAGCCCCAUCCCACUGCAUAGUGUGUACAGAAGGUGGAGGUGGUGGCCAGGAACGCUUUUCAACAGCUUCGGCUGAUACGUCAGCUACGUCCAGUUCUAGAAGUAAAUGACCUUAAAACAGUGAGAUCAAUUUGGACAGGGGCCAGAGGAGACAGCAACGGAUGAGUAUAGGCGGCUAACAAGUUCAACGUGGGAGGUACAAGAACAAGAUAACAGGAAUCAAAAAGUCAAGGAACAGCUUGUAUAAAUUUGCCUUAAAACUAAUGUUAUUCAUUUCAUAUGUCUAACUCAAUUAAUUCCGGAGUCUGGAGUUCAUUAAAUUGGAGUCCAGAAGUUAGGUGUCAUCAAUAUGUCUAGCUCUAC